AUUGAACGCUGGCGGCAGGCUUAACACAUGCAAGUCGAGCGGGGGAGGUUGCUUCGGUAACUGACCUAGCGCCGGACGGGUGAGUAAUGCUUAGGAAUCUGCCUAUUAGUGGGGGACAACAUUCCGAACGGGAUGAUAAUACCGCAUACGCCCUACGGGGAAAGCAGGGGAUCUUCGGACCUUGCGCUAAUAGAUGAGCCUAAGUCGGCUUAGCUAGUUGGUGGGGUAAAGGCCUACCAAGGCGACGAUCUGUAGCGGGUCGGAGAGGAUGAUCCGCCACACUGGGACUGAGACACGGCCCAGACUCCUACGGGAGGCAGCAGUGGGGAAUAUUGGACAAUGGGCGGAAGCCUGAUCCAGCCAUGCCGCGUGUGUGAAGAAGGCCUUUUGGUUGUAAAGCACUUUAAGCGAGGAGGAGGCUACUAGUACUAAUACUACUGGAUAGUGGACGUUACUCGCAGAAUAAGCACCGGCUAACUCUGUGCCAGCAGCCGCGGUAAAAC
rnacentral:rRNA from 1 species